rnacentral:rRNA from 1 species
UGGGGAAUAUUGGACAAUGGGGGCAACCCUGAUCCAGCCAUGCCGCGUGAGUGAUGAAGGCCUUAGGGUUGUAAAACUCUUUCACCGGUGACGAUAAUGACGGUAGCCGGAGAAUAAGCACCGGCUAACUCCGUGCCAGCAGCCGCGGUAAUACGGAGGGUGCGAGCGUUGUCCGGAUUUAUUGGGUUUAAAGGGUGCGUAGGCGGUUAUUUAAGUCAGUGGUGAAAACCCUGAGCUCAACUGAGGGCUUGCCAUUGAUACUGGGUAACUUGAUUACCGUAUAGGUAGGCGGAAUUUAUGGUGUAGCGGUGAAAUGCAUAGAUACCAUAAAGAACACCGAUAGCGAAGGCAGCUUACUGGACGGCGAAUGACGCUGAUGCACGAAAGCGUGGGUAGCGAACGGGAUUAGAUACCCCUGUAGUCC